AGAGUUUGAUCAUGGCUCAGAACGAACGCUGGCGGCAUGCCUAACACAUGCAAGUCGAACGAGACCUUCGGGUCUAGUGGCGCACGGGUGCGUAACGCGUGGGAACCUGCCUUUAGGUUCGGAAUAACUCAGAGAAAUUUGAGCUAAUACCGGAUAAUGUCUUCGGACCAAAGAUUUAUCGCCUUUAGAUGGGCCCGCGUUGGAUUAGCUAGUUGGUGGGGUAAAGGCCUACCAAGGCGACGAUCCAUAGCUGGUCUGAGAGGAUGAUCAGCCACACUGGGACUGAGACACGGCCCAGACUCCUACGGGAGGCAGCAGUGGGGAAUAUUGGACAAUGGGCGAAAGCCUGAUCCAGCAAUGCCGCGUGAGUGAUGAAGGCCUUAGGGUUGUAAAGCUCUUUUACUGGGGAUGAUAAUGACAGUACCCAGAGAAUAAGCUCCGGCUAACUCCGUGCCAGCAGCCGCGGUAAUACGGAGGGAGCUAGCGUUGUUCGGAAUUACUGGGCGUAAAGCGCACGUAGGCGGCUUUUUAAGUCAGGGGUGAAAUCCCGGGGCUCAACCCCGGAACUGCCCUUGAAACUGGGAAGCUAGAAUCUUGGAGAGGCGAGUGGAAUUCCGAGUGUAGAAGUGAAAUUCGUAGAUAUUCGGAAGAACACCAGUGGCGAAGGCGACUCGCUGGACAAGUAUUGACGCUGAGGUGCGAAAGCAUGGGGAGCAAACAGGAUUAGAUACCCUGGUAGUCC
rnacentral:rRNA from 1 species